CCUCCUUUCUAUCGGAGUACAUUUUAGAUUAUUACACCAUAUUAGAAUAUUUUAAAUAUUUGUGUACUUUUUAUAGAAAACCCCCACAUCAAUAAACCUAAAUAAAAAAUUAUUUUUUGGGCGGAUUCUAUUUAGUUUUGAGAGAUAUUUUCUCUCAUGAUAGUUCUUUGAAAACUGAAUAUUGUACAAUCUUUUUGUUCUAAUCAUAUCUA
rnacentral:misc_RNA from 1 species